rnacentral:tRNA from 1 species
GGCUCAGUGGUAGAACAUCUGCUUGACGUGCAGAAGGCCCCAGGUUCAAUCCCGAUCAGAUAGCA